AAAGGGACCAUCAUUCAGACCGUGGUUUCAGCAAUUUGACAUCAUUUCUUACUUUCUUUCUUUUUUUUUUUUUUUCAAACAAAGAGCCAGGGCCUAGGUUGACGUGGGUCUGUGGGAUGAGUGGUAGAUGCUCCUACCUCCGAAAUCACUUCUAGAAUUAUUACAAAUACCUUCAGCUUUUGAAUCUUGUAUUUAAGCUAUCAACGGUGGAAGAGGACUUUGUUUCACUUCUGAGUCACUGAUAAGGGAUAACGCAUGUGGAAGGGCUUUUUGUUCCCUGGGACGUGGAAAGGACAUUCCAGAAAGCAGAGCAAGCACCCCAAGUUGGGGUGGGGGGCGUUGCAAAACGGCACUCUGUGUGCCCACUGACAGCUGGGCUGCUAGCCUCCCGUUUGCAAUUAUAAACAAAGAGCAAUUGUUAUCUGGUUGCAAAAUAAAGCAUAUUCACGGCCUAAAUAAUGAAACCUCGGAGAAUACAGGCGAUCACAAAGAAUCAAUUUCUCUUUAAUUAGAUUUUUGUAUCUUCUCUGGUCCUGUGGGGUUGGGGGGGGCGGAGAUUGUUUUCGAGAGAGACCUACUUCCAGGAGAUGAUCCGUAAGGAGUAAAACACCCCUUGGGACAGUUUGAGUAAGCCAAGCCAGGGAACUGCAAGAAAUGUGUUCUCAGGAGUGAGAUGCUGAAUAUUUAGCCAACAUUGAGAAAAAGAUGGGGGCCCAGCAAUUUUUUAUAUGAUGAGAUUUCUUGUGCCUCGCCAGUGAAUGUCUAUCUGACCCUGGAGAAAGACCAACGGCCUGUGGAGAAGCGCACCUCGUGAUCAGGAAAUGGUCCUGGUGUCUCCCCGCUGGGCUGUAAGUGAGCACGUGGUGACCGGACACUUUCCUUGCCUCUGAUCCAGAAAUCCCGGCGUCGGCCUCCAGUUGUUGAGAGCAACCAGUGAGCUCAUGUCCGGAGCCUGGAGUCGGGUCUGGCAUAUAGUCAUUCAUGGAACAGGUGAGAUAACAGCAUGUGAGGAGCCAACCAUGGGAAGAGGGCAUUCCUGCAGGAAGGAGGAGGCUCGGACGCCUGUCUUGUCUGCCAGAGCUAGAAAACCUGUAGGC
rnacentral:lncRNA from 12 species